CCUGGUUGAUUCUGCCAGUAGUCAUAUGCUUGUCUCAAAGAUUAAGCCAUGCAUGUCUAAGUAUAAGCAAUUAUACCGUGAAACUGCGAAUGGCUCAUUAAAUCAGUUAUCGUUUAUUUGAUAAUACCUUACUACUUGGAUAACCGUGGUAAUUCUAGAGCUAAUACAUGCUGAAAAUCCCGACUUCGGAAGGGAUGUGUUUAUUAGAUAAAAAACCAAUGCCCUUCGGGGCUCCUUGGUGAUUCAUAAUAACUUUACGGAUCGCAUAGCCUUGCGCUGGCGACGGUUCAUUCAAAUUUCUGCCCUAUCAACUUUCGAUGGUAAGGUAUUGGCUUACCAUGGUUUCAACGGGUAACGGGGAAUUAGGGUUCGAUUCCGGAGAGGGAGCCUGAGAAACGGCUACCACAUCCAAGGAAGGCAGCAGGCGCGCAAAUUACCCAAUCCCGAUUCGGGGAGGUAGUGACAAUAAAUACUGAUACAGGGCUCUUUUGGGUCUUGUAAUUGGAAUGAGUACAAUUUAAACCUCUUAACGAGGAACAAUUGGAGGGCAAGUCUGGUGCCAGCAGCCGCGGUAAUUCCAGCUCCAAUAGCGUAUAUUAAAGUUGUUGCAGUUAAAAAGCUCGUAGUUGAAACUUGGUCUGGCUGGCGGGUCCGCCUCACCGCGUGCACUCGUCCGGCCGGGCCUUCCUUCUGAAGAACCUCAUGCCCUUUACUGGGCGUGUUGGGGAAUCAGGACUUUUACUUUGAAAAAAUUAGAGUGUUCAAAGCAGGCCUUUGCUCGAAUACGUUAGCAUGGAAUAAUAAAAUAGGGCGUGCGUUUCUAUUUUGUUGGUUUCUAGAGACGCCGCAAUGAUUAACAGGAACAGUCGGGGCAUCAGUAUUCAGUUGUCAGAGGUGAAAUUCUUGGAUUUACUGAAGACUAACUACUGCGAAAGCAUUUGCCAAGGAUGUUUUCAUUAAUCAGUGAACGAAAGUUAGGGGAUCGAAGACGAUCAGAUACCGUCGUAGUCUUAACCGUAAACUAUGCCGACUAGGGAUCGGGCGAUGUUCUUUUUCUGACUCGCUCGGCACCUUACGAGAAAUCAAAGUUUUUGGGUUCUGGGGGAUUAUGGUCGCAAGGCUGAAACUUAAAGAAAUUGACGGAAGGUCACCACCAGGCGUGGAGCCUGCGGCUUAAUUUGACUCAACACGGGGAAACUCACCAGGUUCAGAUGAAAUAAGGAUUGACAGAUUGAGAGCUCUUUCUUGAUUUUUCAGGUGGUGGUGCAUGGCCGUUCUUAGUUCGUGGGGUGACUUGUCUGCUUAAUUGCGAUAACGAGCGAGAGUAAAGUUAAGGAUAAUCUGCGUAACUGCGAGAUCUUGAAGCGUUCGUGCUGUCUCGAAGUAAAAUUCGAUAUUUCCAGUCGGGUAUGUGGUCGGAUU
rnacentral:rRNA from 1 species